UACGGAGGUUCCAAGCGUUGUUCGGAAUUACUGGGCGUAAAGGGAGCGCAGGCGGGCAAGUCAGUCUGAAGUGAAAUCCCGGGGCUCAACCUCGGACUUGCUUCGGAUACUGCUUGUCUUGAGUUCGUGAUAGGAAGACGGAAUUCAGGGUGUAGCGGUGAAAUGCACAGAUAUCCUGAGGAACACCGGUGGCGAAAGCGGUCUUCUGGCGCGAAACUGACGCUGAGGCUCGAAAGCGUGGGUAGCGAACGGGAUUAGAUACCCCCGUAGUCCCU
rnacentral:rRNA from 1 species